CAACCCUCAGUUUGUUUCCUGCGAUUAAGAAUUCCUCAUAUCAGUGAGAUCAUAUGAUACAUGUCUUUCUCUGUUUGACUUAUUUCACUCAACAUAAUACCCUCCAGUUCCAUCCACGUCGUUGCAAAUGGCAAGAUCUCAUUCCUUUUGAUGGCUGCAUAAUAUUCCAUUCAUUCAGGAAAUUCUAAUGGUUUUUAAAGCUCUGUGCCAGGAACCAGGGACAAAGCCCAGAUAAUAUUCUUUAUUAUACCACAGAGUUCAUGCUUGGAAAUUCUGUUAUUGGAACUAAGAGAAUCCAAUCUCUUUAGACUCCUGUACUGUGUUAUGUAAACCUUAGGGCUGUUGGCUGCCGUGUUUCCCCCCAGGAAAACAGAGGCCAAGGUGUAGAAAGGAAAAGAGAAAUGAAACAGAUGCACAGAGAGAAGAGAGGAAUGGGGGAGAGAGGGAGCCCACACAGAUUUGAAUCUCUUUUCCACCAUUUUCCUGUCCUUGGUUUCUAGGAGGCUUCACAUCACCUCUACUAAAUAUCCUUUCCCUCUUCUGACUUCAUCCAACUCUGGCUGAGUUUCUCAAACCCCUGACUGGGCAUCUACUGAUAGAGUGAGCCAGUGAACAUAUGUAUGGAAACGGAAGUGUGCGGACUUAAAUCACACGAAGCUGCAGGCAGGAGGAAAGGCCAUGAGGAUUGCAGCACGAAAGCAGCUGUCUGCAAGCCAGGAAGAGAGUCCUCAACUGAAACCAAACCUUGCUGGAUGUUGAUCUGGAACUUCUAGCUUACAGAAAUGGGAUCAAUGCAUCUCUAUUGUUUAAGCCACCCAGCCUAUGUUUCUUUUUAUGGCAGCCCAAGCCGACCGAUAUGCUUGCGUUCUAAUUCCUGGAUCUGGAGGUCGUCAUAAAUGAGUGAGGCUAAUGUGCUUGGAUCCCAAAUCCAAUGGAACAUUUCCAUAUCAAGUAUUUCAAACUAACAAAGUUCUAACUUUGGGAAUAUGUAUGCAUUGCGGUAGUAGUCAUCUUGCAACCAGCAAAGACAACGCUAAAUGGACCAUCAGCCACCAAUGGGCAAAGAAACUCAACAUGUGUGAAGACUCAGAGUCAGGGCUAUCACAUGCUGUUGGGCCUGCCAGGGGUCCCUGCCCUGUUGUCCUGGCCUGACUUCUCUAGUCUCCACCCCCUGACUGGCUUCUGAGCUCUGUGCCCUGUGUCCUUCUACUUGGGAGCAUGGGGUAUGAUCUUCUUCAGUAGCUCCAUGGCCCUUGGGCGGAUGGUUGCCAGUGGGGAAGUAGACAGGCAGACGGAGUUCAGAGGAGGACUAGGAGGGGCUGAAUGAUGCACAUCCCGCUUGCUGCCUCUGGGGACAAUCUGGGAACACAGAAGGCAUCAAACUCUGAUUAGGUGGCUGGAGGCUAGAGACUGUGGCUUGGGGGCUUUGACCACUCCAGUCAGUCCUGCCCCUGAGGGCUGAGGAGAUCAAUAUUUCUACUUAGAGCAAGCUAGCAGGAGAGUUCCCUACCAGGGUUUUUCAAACUUUGGGGUGUGUCAGGAUGACCAAAAAGGCUUGUUGAAAUACAGAUGUUGGACUCCAUGCUCACUUUCUGAUUCAGUGGAUCUGGGGUGCAGCUCCAGAAUUUGCAUUUCUAAGAAGUGUCCAGGUGAUGUGAAUGUUGCUGGUGGGGACCGAAAGGUUGAGAACUCCUGCUUUCAAGCAUGGGGUUUCUCACAGGAUUUAAGGUAAUUUUCCACAGUAAGUUUCUAAAAAUCAAUCUUUUAAAGUAUCUCUGUGUCUUUAAGAAUUUUUAUAGCAUGCAAAAGGUUAUUGCCAUUCACAGAUAUAAGAUACGUGGUUCGAAAAUAUGACAGCAGUCCAAAUAAAAUCAUUUUUAAUUUUGCUGAAACACAAAUGUGAAUGUCAUGUUAUACAACCACUGUGUGUCUCGGCUGCAGUCAGCGGCUGGUGAGUGAAUCUACCCAAAGCCCAGCGUCAACGAUUCGAACAGUCUUGGUUUGCUACUCAUGGUUCUAGUGAGUUUUAAGUGAAUACUUACAUAUUCGUAUGCCAGGGUCAUGAACUCAAACGCCGAACUGGUCCAGGGAAGCAAUUUCAAAUGAGUGGAAAGAGCUGGGGGGAGAGUGUGGCGAACUGGCAGGCUUGUGUCCAUCCAAGGGCAGACACCUUCCAGAGCUCCAGCUGACAGAUGCAGGUAGGAAUGUGGGGCUGUUUUGCCAUGUCUUCCAAUUUUCAAGAGAAUCAGAAAUCCAAAGUUUUUACAUGAAUCCUUUUUUUUUUUUUUA